GUGAUGAAAGGCUGACAAAGGCAGAUGAAGAGAGAAAGUAUUUAUUCUGGCUCACAGUUCAAAGGCACAGUCCACCAUGGCAGAGAAGCCAAGGUCACAAGAGUUUGAAGCAGUUUAUCUCAUGGCACUCAUGACCAGGAAGGAGAGAACAAUGAAUGCAUCCUUUGCUUGUUUUAUCCAUUUUAUAUACAGCCCAGGAUCCCAGCCUAGGGAAUGGUACCACCCGUAGCUAAGAUAUGAAUCUUCCUACAACAAUCAACAUACUCAAGAUAAUCCCUCAUAGACAUUCUAGAAUUACCUAGGAGACAAACCUCUGGGCACACCUCUGAAGCUAAUGGGUAGCCUUGAACUCACAGAGAUCCAACUGCCACUGCCUUCCGAGUGUCUCCUGGUGAUGACUACAUUUUUAGCAAGGAGUGUCAAUAUAAGGAAAUAAGCCUGGUAAUGUGACAUGUUCACAAUGACGGGAGCAAUGAGUGGAAUAUGCUCUUCUACCAAAGCCACACACCAAGUGUAGUGGAUUUUCUCUCCCUGAUGAGGCAAAAUAAAUGGCAACCUUCACCAUUAUUUUACCUGCUGCCUCCCCAGAACUUUUCUGGAGUUUACAUCUUUUAAAGGUUCACAAAUCGUUCCCAAACCAAUCUAACGCUUCCAGAUAAGGGAAGAAAGUAAGGAGGGUAAUAAGAGGUAAAGAGGGGCAAUCGAGCCCAAAUCAUUUAAAUUUCUGAC